rnacentral:rRNA from 1 species
CCUACGGGAGGCAGCAGUGAGGAAUAUUGGUCAAUGGGCGGGAGCCUGAACCAGCCAAGUCGCGUGAGGGAAGACGGUCCUAUGGAUUGUAACCUCUUUUUGCGGGGUGCAAUACCGGGCACGCUUUCCCGUUGGGAGAGUACCCGCAGAAUAAGCAUCGGCUAACUCCGUGCCAGCAGCCGCGGUAAUACGGAGGAUGCGAGCGUUAUCCGGAUUUAUUUGGUUUAAAGGGUGCGUAGGCGGAUUUUUAAGUCAGCGGUAAAAUGUCGGGGCUCAACCCGGGCGUGCCGUUGAAACUGGGGUUCUUGAGUGGGCGAGAAGUAUGCGGAAUGCGUGGUGUAGCGGUGAAAUGCAUAGAUAUCACGCAGAACUCCGAUUGCGAAGGCAGCAUACCGGCGCCCGACUGACGCUGAGGCACGAAAGCGUGGGGAUCGAACAGGAUUAGAUACCCGAGUAGUC